rnacentral:rRNA from 1 species
UACGUAGGGUGCAAGCGUUGUCCGGAUUUAUUGGGUUUAAAGGGUGCGUAGGCGGCCUCUUAAGUCAGUGGUGAAAGCCCGCGGCUCAACCGCGGAACUGCCAUUGAUACUGGGAGGCUUGAGUACAGACGAGGUAGGCGGAAUUGAAGAUGUAGCGGUGAAAUGCUUAGAUAUCUUCAAGAACACCGAUUGCGUAGGCAGCUUACUAGGCUGUAACUGACGCUGAGGCACGAAAGCGUGGGGAGCGAACAGG